GAUGAACGCUCGCUACAGGCUUAACACAUGCAAGUCGAGGGGAAACGGCAUUAAGUGCUUGCACUUUUUGGACGUCGACCGGCGCACGGGUGAGUAACGCGUAUCCAACCUGCCCCUUACCAGGGAAUAACCCGUUGAAAGACGGACUAAUGCCCUAUGCAGUCCUUUGACGGCAUCAGAUUAGGACUAAAGAUUCAUCGGUAUGGGAUGGGGAUGCGUCUGAUUAGCUUGUUGGCGGGGUAACGGCCCACCAAGGCAUCGAUCAGUAGGGGUUCUGAGAGGAAGGUCCCCCACAUAGGAACUGAGACACGGUCCUAACUCCUACGGGAGGCAGCAGUGAGGAAUAUUGGUCAAUGGGCGGUAGCCUGAACCAGCCAAGUAGCGUGCAGGAUGACGGCCCUAUGGGUUGUAAACUGCUUUUAUGCGGGGAUAAAGUCACCCACGUGUGGGUGUUUGCAGGUACCGCAUGAAUAAGGACCGGCUAAUUCCGU
rnacentral:rRNA from 1 species